AACUGAUCAGACAUAAUUUCAUUUUGUAAUUUUAUGUACUUUAUUUUAUUUUAUGAGUUUUUUUUCCAGUUCAAUUUUAAUUGAUUUUUGAUUUCAGUUUAGUUAAAAAAAUUGCCAAUGCAAUAUUUCUAAUUUUUGUUUACAGUUUUAUAUCUAAUAUUUACAUUUAUUUCAGCUUUAUUUCAAAUAUGUAAAAUAUAUAUAUAUAUAUAUAUAAAUUAGUUAACUGAUGCAAACUUGUUUAUGGAUGGCUUGCUAAGUGCUCUCUGCAUAUUAAACUUAGGAGAAAUAAUUGUAACAUUGGGGGAAAACAUUACAGCACUUUUAAUCAUAUCAUUGCCCUGUAUAAACUGCCCUGCAACAUAUAAGAUAGAUAAUACUGGCUUUCCAGAUAAAGAUGCUAAUCUACUGAUUUAGGCCAGAAAAUUCAACAGUGUGAAAGAUUCAGACGUUCUAACUGAUCUAACAAAUCACUAACAGUUCAGAUGCUGUCCUCAAUUCCCCGCUUGUUUAUCAGAAGUUACAUUGUUCUCUCCCAGAGCUACAAAAAACUAUGCUAAUAGUUCUCCUUACAAACUGGGUCACCUUCAUCCGUCAGUAAGCGUACCUCUCAGUCACCACUUACAGAGAUCAGUACCUCUCUACACUGAGAGUGCAGGGCGGGACUGUCAGCGACAUCUGACAGAUGCAGCGUUUCGUCGCGCAGCUGCGACACGUCGCGUGGUUCUCUCCAUGUGAUCAAAGCCACGUGAUGAGUUCUGGUGUCAGGCCACAGCGUCCCGUGGUCUCUACAGUGAGACAGGAGGAGCACAGGGAGUUUUUUGUGCCUGUCAGGCUGCAGCCCGGCUGAUACUUCGGAUUGAUUCACCGUAUGAUGCGUUUGGCACUAUUGAUGUUUUAUUAAGCUUGUCGGGAAUUUCUAGGAAGCCCUGUUUGAGUGUGUGUGGAGAUGCUGAGGAAUGUUGGCUCCCAUUAGUGACAAAGACCAUCAUGAGACUGUCACAUCAGAUCAUCAGCUAAAACAGCUAAAACAUGUCCCACGUCGCUAUAGGAGGCAGCGACAGUGUCUGGAUAAUGUGGAAGGCAGUCAUUUUUGUCUGCAGGCAUGCCGAAAUGCCUUGGAGGUGGCACUGAGGACCCUUAGAGCUCAGGAAGAUGAGAAGGAGGCCAAGCAGUCACGGUUAAAGGCCAUCCACAGUCACUCUUCUAAUCAGCAAGCACUUCUUAAUCAGCUAUGA
ensembl:lncRNA